UUAGGUGAGUUUGUGUCUUCAUUCCUACCUUGUGCUAACUCCCACGUUACUCUUCAAGGGCUGAGGCCCUGAGCACGAUCUGCACCUGACUUAAUGAACUCCAAUAGCUCUAACAGAGGUUCAUUCCUCUUUGACCCCCCAGAACACACAGCAGUCAGCACAGUUGAGCUGGCCUGCAGACCUGCUUGUACAUCUGAAAACCAGCUAAAAUGUCCCUAUGGGCUAAUCCUGACCUCCAACCGCUGGUUGCUCUGCAGGUCCAAUAAUGUGAUGUGGAGAAGAUGUGUUUCCAAAGGAAAACCUGACUUGUUCACACACUGGGGAAGUCAGGUUGCAUUGCUGCUCGUAAUGAGCGGUGUUGAAAAGCACCUUUCAUGUCUCCAUCUGGUUGUUUUACUACAGGCAUCGUGUGCUGGCUGCUGAGACCCGGGGAAGUCAAUGUAAGAGUCUUUGAAGCAGAAACCCCAGCCUGAUGGCAGCACGUGGGGAAAUUAUCAACUGCAGAGACCACUCCUGGGAGUAACGCCAGGAACCAGGAUGAGAAAACGAGAAGGGGGAGAAAAAAGCAGCCCCAUAUCCCUCUGUCAUGGGGAUUAUAUGGGCCACGAGUCCUGAGAAACUCCAUUCUGGUCCACCCACUGAG
ensembl:lncRNA